UACGGAGGGUGCAAGCGUUAUCCGGAUUCACUGGGUUUAAAGGGUGCGUAGGUGGGCAGGUAAGUCAGUGGUGAAAUCUCCGGGCUUAACCCGGAACUGCCGUUGAUACUAUCUGUCUUGAAUACCGUGGAGGUGAGCGGAAUAUGUCAUGUAGCGGUGAAAUGCUUAGAUAUGACAUAGAACACCAAUUGCGAAGGCAGCUCACUACGCGAAUAUUGACACUGAGGCACGAAAGCGUGGGGAUCAAACAGG
rnacentral:rRNA from 1 species